UACGUAGGGGGCAAGCGUUGUCCGGAAUCAUUGGGCGUAAAGCGCGUGUAGGCGGCCCGAUAAGUCCGCUGUGAAAGUCCAGGGCUCAACCCUGGGAUGCCGGUGGAUACUGUCGGGCUCGAGUCCGGAAGAGGCGAGUGGAAUUCCUGGUGUAGCGGUGAAAUGCGCAGAUAUCAGGAGGAACACCAAUGGCGAAGGCAGCUCGCUGGGACGUGACUGACGCUGAGACGCGA
rnacentral:rRNA from 1 species